rnacentral:lncRNA from 1 species
UUGAGAGCUCUCUGAUUUCUUUCAUGUGGGAUGUAUCUUUGCAGCUUAGACCAGAGGCUUCAUUCCUUUGGAUAUUCUAGGAGUGCAUAUUUAUUGGAAUCGUAUUUGCUCUACGAUUCUGCCUUGGCAUUGUGAGCACAUCUUUUGAAGUCUUAAUUCUGCACUCUACGAUUCAGCUUUGGCUGUGCAGACACUACGACUCCGAGAUCAGAUCUUGACACUCUACGAUUUCUGUCAUUGUGCUUGUUGUCUUCAUCUGAUCUUGCUCGACUUCGAUCUCUGCCUCUGAUAUGAUCAGUAGACUCUACGACUCUGAGUGUAGUCUACGAUUCUUGACUUUGACUUCGGCAGAUACUUGGUCGGCUCAUAGGCAUGAUGUCUCUACGAUUCUGAACAUGACUUCCUCAGCAGACUACGGC